GAGAGUGGAAAGUUCACACUACGGUAGCUUCAGAAAGGGACGGCUCUACGUGCCAGCAGCCGCGGUAAUACGUAGGUCCCGAGCGUUGUCCGGAUUUAUUGGGCGUAAAGCGCGCAGGCGGUUUGAUAAGUCUGAAGUUAAAGGCUGUGGCUCAACCAUAGUUCGCUUUGGAAACUGUCAAACUUGAGUGCAGAAGGGGAGAGUGGAAUUCCAUGUGUAGCGGAAAUGCUAGAUAUAUGGAGGAACACCGGUGGAAAGCGGCUCUCUGGUCUAACUGACGCUGAGGCUCGAAAGCGUGGGGACGAACAGGAUUAGAUACCCUGGUAGUCCACGCCGUAACGAUGAGUACUAGGUGUACACUAGUGAAUUCG
rnacentral:rRNA from 1 species